UAGGAGUCUGACACAAAUCACUGUUUGU
rnacentral:piRNA from 1 species